CCUACGGGGGGCAGCAGUGGGGAAUAUUGGGCAAUGGCCGAAAGGCUGACCCAGCGACGCCGCGUGUGGGAGGAAGCCCUUCGGGGUGUAAACCACUGUCAGGAGGGACGAAAGAGCUCAUGGUGAAUAAUCAUGGGCAGUGACGGUACCUUCAAAGGAAGCACCGGCUAACUCUGUGCCAGCAGCCGCGGUAAUACAGAGGGUGCAAGCGUUGUUCGGAAUUACUGGGCGUAAAGCGCGCGCAGGCGGGUCCUGUAAGUCGGAAGUGAAAUUUCACGGCUCAACCGUGAAGCUGCUUCUGAUACUGCGGAUCUGGAGAUCGGUAGAGGCUGGUGGAAUUGCAGGUGUAGCGGUGGAAUGCGUAGAGAUCUGCAAGAACACCCGUGGCGAAGGCGGCCAGCUGGGCCGAAUCUGACGCUGAGGCGCGAAAGCGUGGGGAG
rnacentral:rRNA from 1 species